AUCAAAUUCAACAUCUCCUCUAACCUUCCUCCUCCCGUAUCCUCUCCUUUCUCUCCAGCCCUCCAGCCAACAUGUUGCUCGAGCCAUACUGGAAUUCAGUAGAAUGCCCAACCUCAAGCCCAUGUUGCAAUGGAUUCACAAGAUCGUUGCCAUACAUCAUGUGGCGCUCGAUGUAACCAAUGUUAUGCAUAAGUCUGACUAUAGUGGUCCAGGUAAGCUUGUGGUCGGUAAUGGAGUUUCGUUAGAUGUUUCCAUUGUUGGAAGCUCCAUGUUGCUUUCAUCCUCUCAUGCUUUAUUACCAAGUGAUUUACUACAUGUACCCCGAAUAACAGAAAAUUUACUCUAUGUUUCCAAGCUUGCUAGGGACAAUCGUGUUUUUUUUCAAGUUUCACGCCAAUGAAUGUUUUGUUCAGGAUGAAGUCACAGGAGAUGUGUUGCCUCAAGGUGAAGAAAAUGGAGGGCUUUACUCAUUUACCAUUAUUCGAAGAUUGAAUGGGCAUGACAAAGCUGAAGUCAACACAACAGCUACCAACCUUAGCUCAUGUGAACUGUGGCAUAGGCGUUUAGGCCACCCUGCCUAUGACACAUUAGUGAAAGUGUGCAAAUCUAUCAAUGUAAAUGUUGUAAACAAUAUUAAUAAGAAGUGUACUAUUUUUCA